AUGGAGAAGGAGAAGACGGUCGUUCUGUACCCUGGCCUUUUCGUGAGCCACUUUGUCUCGAUGAUGCAGCUCGCAAGGGCCCUCCACGACCACGGCUACGCCGUCUCUGUCGCGCUCAUUGACCCCGCCGUCAAGGAGGACAUCCCCUUCGGCGCCGUCGUCCGCCGCGUCGCCGCCUCCAUGCCGUCCGUCCGCUUCCACACGCUCCGGGCCGUGAAGGACACGCCCAAGCUGACCCACGACGCGAGGUUCAUGGUCAGGUACCUCGACCUCAGCCGCUACAACGAGCGCCUCCACGACUUCCUCUGCUCCAUGCUUGCCCGGAACGUCCACGAUGUGGUCGUCGACUCGGUGUCCAACGAGGCACUCCGCAUCGUGAAGAGGCCCGGGAUCCCCGGGUACACCAUGUUCACCUCCAGCGCCGCCGCCUUCGCCCAGCUCCCUACGAUCCUCGCAGAGGGCGGCCCGAGCUUCAAGGAGCUGGGAGACACCCCUCUCGAGCUCUUCGGCCUUCCACCCAUCCCGGCUUCGCACCUGUUGGGCGAGGUGCUCGAGGACCUGGACAGCGACACAUACAAGGCGACGAUGGCCUUGCUGUGCCGGAUCCGGGAGGCCGACGGCACGCUGGUGAAUACGUUCGAGUCGCUGGAGGCUCGUGCGAUGGCUGCUCUCAGGGACCCUUUGUGUGUCCCCGGCAGGGUACUGCCUCCAGUGUACUGCGUCGGUGCAUUUGUCGGCAGCAUCGCCGACGCCGGGGUAAAAGAGCGGCACGAGUGCCUCGCCUGGCUAGACGGCCAACCGGACCGCAGCGUCGUGUUCCUCUGCUUCGGGAGCAUAGGCACCGGAAACCACUCUGAGGAGCAGCUCAGGAAGAUCGCCGUCGGGCUCGACAAGUCCGGCCACCGCUUCUUGUGGGUUGUGCGAGCCCCCGCCAGCGACCACCCCGGUGUCGACCCGGACCUCAACGCUCUCCUGCCGGACGGAUUCAUGGAGCGAACCAACGGCCGUGGCCUCGUCGUCAAGCUGUGGGCUCCACAGGUGGAAGUCCUCCGCCACAAGGCCACGGGGGCGUUCGUGACGCACUGCGGGUGGAAUUCGGUGCUGGACGGCGUCACGGCGGGCGUGCCGAUGCUGUGCUGGCCGCUGUACUCGGAGCAGAAGAUGAACAAGUUGCACAUGGUGGGGGACAUGGGGAUCGCCAAGGAGAUGGUUGGGUGGCAGCAGGGCCUGGUCAAGGCCGGCGAGGUGGAGGCCAAAGUAAGGCUUGUGAUGGAGUCUGAGGAGGGUAGUGAGCUCAGGUCGCGGGCGGCGGCGUGCAAAGAUGCCGCGGCUGUGGCUUGCAACGACGGCGGGUCGUCGCGCUUGGCGUUUGCCCGGUUUCUGGCGGACGUGGCCAGCCGGAAGGAUCGGGCCUGCAGCGAGGAAGUGGGUGAUGCAUGA
rnacentral:rRNA from 1 species